rnacentral:rRNA from 1 species
GCCAGCAGCAUAUCACCCUGCAGCUCAGAGCUAGCAACCCACCAAAGCUAAGCAGGUGAGCUUGGCCAGUACCUGGAUGGGAGACCUCCUGGGAAAACUAAGGUUGCUGCUGGAA